AGCGAACGCUGGCGGCAGGCUUAACACAUGCAAGUCGAGCGGGCGUAGCAAUACGUCAGCGGCAGACGGGUGCGUAACGCGUGGGAACGUACCUUUUGGUUCGGAACAACACAGGGAAACUUGUGCUAAUACCGGAUAAGCCCUUACGGGGAAAGAUUUAUCGCCGAAAGAUCGGCCCGCGUCUGAUUAGCUAGUUGGUGAGGUAACGGCUCACCAAGGCGACGAUCAGUAGCUGGUCUGAGAGGAUGAUCAGCCACAUUGGGACUGAGACACGGCCCAAACUCCUACGGGAGGCAGCAGUGGGGAAUAUUGGACAAUGGGGGCAACCCUGAUCCAGCCAUGCCGCGUGAGUGAUGAAGGCCCUAGGGUUGUAAAGCUCUUGUGUGCGGGAAGAUAAUGACGGUACCGAAAGAAUAAGCCCCGGCUAACUUCGUG
rnacentral:rRNA from 1 species